UUUAUGGAGAGUUUGAUCCUGGCUCAGGAUGAACGCUGGCGGCGUGCCUAAUACAUGCAAGUCGAGCGAACAGAUAAGGAGCUUGCUCCUUUGACGUUAGCGGCGGACGGGUGAGUAACACGUGGGUAACCUACCUAUAAGACUGGAAUAACUCCGGGAAACCGGGGCUAAUGCCGGAUAACAUGU
rnacentral:rRNA from 1 species